UCUGAAUAUGGGGGGACCAUCCUCCAAGGCUAAAUACUCCUGACUGACCGAUAGUGAACCAGUACCGUGAGGGAAAGGCGAAAAGAACCCCGGCGAGGGGAGUGAAAAAGAACCUGAAACCGUGUACGUACAAGCAGUGGGAGCACCUUCGGGUGUGACUGCGUACCUUUUGUAUAAUGGGUCAGCGACUUAUAUUCUGUAGCAAGGUUAACCGUAUAGGGGAGCCGCAGGGAAACCGAGUCUUAACUGGGCGUUAAGUUGCAGGGUAUAGACCCGAAACCCGGUGAUCUAGCCAUGGGCAGGUUGAAGGUUGGGUAACACUAACUGGAGGACCGAACCGACUAAUGUUGAAAAAUUAGCGGAUGACUUGUGGCUGGGGGUGAAAGGCCAAUCAAACCGGGAGAUAGCUGGUUCUCCCCGAAAGCUAUUUAGGUAGCGCCUCGUGAAUUCAUCUUCGGGGGUAGAGCACUGUUUCGGCUAGGGGGUCAUCCCGACUUACCAACCCGAUGCAAACUACGAAUACCGAAGAAUGUUAUCACGGGAGACACACGGCGGGUGCUAACGUCCGUCGUGAAGAGGGAAACAACCCAGACCGCCAGCUAAGGUCCCAAAGUCAUGGUUAAGUGGGAAACGAUGUGGGAAGGCACAGACAGCCAGGAUGUUGGCUUAGAAGCAGCCAUCAUUUAAAGAAAGCGUAAUAGCUCACUGGUCGAGUCGGCCUGCGCGGAAGAUGUAACGGGGCUAAACCAUGCACCGAAGCUGCGGCAGCGACACUAUGUGUUGUUGGGUAGGGGAGCG
rnacentral:rRNA from 1 species